AGUCGACCUACCCAUGGAGAGGGAAGAGGGGAAACUGAGUCCCAGAGAGGAUGAGCUCUGGUCCAGCCCAGUGGAGAUCCUAUCCGCACAGCUGUAGCUUUCGCUCGUGGUCAAAUGGAUGUAGAGGAGCAGACGGAAAGGGAAAUCUUGGCGGAGCAGUGGAAUAAAGUCUCAAAUUAGUCACCCAGUGAGCCCGGGAGCUAGUUGGCAGAGCAGGUGCCAGGAUGGGGCAAAGUCGUCAAGUCGGAGGCAGUGCUGGUAGCUGCGAGAUGGGCAGGGCAAGGAUAGAGCCAGGCUCAGACCAGGAGUUUCGCUAGAAGGGGAGGUCGUGCCCACAGUGUUCUGUAGUGAAAUUCCACUCCUGGCGGGCACCUCUUUUCAGAAAGAGGCUCUUUCCAUCUUGUCCAUUGGGAUUAGAGAUCACAGGAAUUUUCUCUACUGAAAAAAAAUGGAGAUUUGAACCCUAGACUUCAAUCCCCAGAAGUCCUUGAUAUUUCCCAGAAUUCCCUAUAAUCUCACCUGAGUCUCCACAUAGACGAGAUCACAAUGGGUAACUGGCAGUAACUGACUACCUCUUUUCUCUCCAUUGCAAUGAAAGGGAGAACUCACCGAUUAUCAAUCCAGAGCUAGAGGGGACCUCAGACGACAUCUAUCCAAAUCCAGUUCAUGUUGUGAAAUGGGCCCAGGGCAACAGGGAGGCUAUUCAGGCCUUAACAUGGUCCUUAUAAUCCAAGUGGAAGGAGCAGUUCAGUUUGACCAAAGUGGGGAGUCUACAAUGGGGAUCCCUGUGAGAAAAGGUGACUAAAGGACGCAGUCUUCGUGCGUUGUUAUGGAUGAAAUUUAUGAAUCACCUAGCAACCAGCUCUGAUGAUGAGCCUCCCUGAAAUUAGCUGAUCAGGUCUACAACAUGCACAGUCAUUGGAUCCAAUGAAUCCGCCCUGUUUGGAAAGAACUGCCAAGCCUUGUCUUCUUAACAAGAAAGACCUUAGUGAAAAAAGGUUCAUCUCCCCAUCACAAUGAAGCUUUUCAGGUAGGGUAAAAAUGGAGCACAUAAAAAAAAAUACUAGAUAAGACUUGUAGGAAAAAGGAGCUGAGCUAGAUCUUGAAGGUGAAUUGUCUGGGGCUAAUAAUAGCUCACAUUGUGAUAACCCUUUUUGGUCAGACUUGAGACUUAACUCCUGGCCUUGUGUCACCAGAGGCUGAACCCAGGAAAUAUGGUCAGCUGGUAAUUUUCCAAGACUGUACAGGAAAAUGAUAGCCAAGUCUAGUCUGCAGUGCAAACAGCCACUUAUGUGGUAUGACUUGGGGAGCCCAAAAGAUCUGAAUGGUUCAUAAAUGUCUCCUCAACCCUGUCCUACCAUGAGUCAGAAUUUCUCAUCAUUAGAGUCAUUCUUGGGUUAAAGCAGUGGUUCUCAGCCUUUCUAAUGCCGUGACCCCGCAAUACAGUUCCUCAUAUUGCUGUGACCCCAAACCAAAAACCUAUUUUGGUGGCUACUUCAAAACUGCAAUUUUGCUACAGUUAUGAUUCGGAAUGUAAAUACCUGAUAUGCAUUAGGUAUUCUCAUUGCUACAAAUCGAGAGGUUGAGAACUGCUGGGUUAAAGGAUUAUCUCCAGGAGAUCCCAAAGCAAAUAUUUUAUCAAAUGCAUUGAGCAUAUCCACAAGGGCUUUAGAAACUAUAAAACACUAUAUACAUGUUCAGUACUAUUAAUAUUAUCUUCUAGCAAGAGAAACACAUUAACAGGUUUUAUGACUCUGAGAACUUAACUAAGAACUAAGUUGAAUUGAAUUAAGUAUCAGUCAAUAGUAGUUGUACACUAUACUAGACGAUAUACUGUACAGCAAGCAUUUAUUAAGCACCCACAAUGUACCCAACACUGAGGAUGUAAAAACAAAAGUGAAACAGUCUCUGUCUUCAGUGUGCUUACAAUCUAAUGGGAGAGACAACAUGUACAUCUAUAGACAUUACCCAAAAGAGAUAUAAAAUGAUAUAUACAACAUGUAUGAAUUAAUACUCAUAGAGAG